GAUAGGGACUGGUAUAAUGACUGGUGACAUCCCAAACCCAAUACCUUCUCCUCCAAAGCAGGGGAAACCAGUCCUAUUCCCCAUGGCAGGUCCUAGAGGGAGGCAUUUGGGUGAGUUCUCUUGCAGAUGAAAAGCUGCAGGUUCUCAUACUCAACUCAGCUCCCUUCCCUUCCUGCUCAGGUUCAGAGUGGUAGCUCUGCUUGCACAAUGGAAUCAGUUCCAAGGAAAAGGCGGACAAACUCACUUGUGCACAGUUGAGCAUAGUAGUUUAAUUUACUGAAAUAAGAAUGUUUUAAUGUAUAAUGCUGCGUGUUUAAUGAAAGCACAUUGAGCUUUAAUUGGUAAAUAGCUGAUUCAAGUAUGUUCUCCAGUAGUUCUCUUCUGGUUGGUUAACACAUGAGAGGUACCCAUUUAUGGUCUCUAUUUAGUGAAGGAGUGACCAGCAGGAAUCUCCAUUAACACUGAGCAGUACUAGAAUCUCACUGAACGCUGCAGGGGGAGCAGUGUGAAUGCAAGCGCUCUCUCUAAGUGAAUGAGGGAGAAAGCUGAGCAGGAACUGGUUGUCCUCUCCGAAAGAGAAGCAGAGAGAUGACUGUAAGAGACAGCAACCUCUUCAAGCAUCUGCAAGGCCUAGAGGAAAGGGCAGGCCCAGGACAGGCUGGACAGAGGAAGAGACACGGAUUGAUCGAUUUAACUGCAAGAAUCUGUCAUAAACCUAAAUGAAGUUGAGCCUAGGCUUUGACUGUUUUCUAAACAGAUCUUUUAUCAUC